rnacentral:ribozyme from 1 species
GCUGCUCUGAUAAUCACACACCUCUUCGUGGUGAGCAGUAGGCAACGAUCUGAGAUCGGCAGAGAUGUGAUA